rnacentral:lncRNA from 10 species
GGGUAAAGUGCAAACUUCCCCUUCACCAUCUGAAGGUUUGCUAAAAAUCAACAGGCAGAAGGCGAAUUAACAGGAGAAAUGGCAUGCCAAUUUGUUUGAUCACAGUUUUACAUGAAGAAUGAAGACCCAAAGACACAUGAGAAAUUGUCCAUUUUUAUGCAACACCAGACCAGGCGAUGCUCUAAGACAGGUACAACAAAGUAUGGACAUGCGUGUAGAAAUACGAGUCAACUAAAGGGUGUGAUCUACUGCUAAUAGGCUGAGUGGGGACACCCAGACUCUUCCUGGCCCCUGUGAGCAGCUUCCUUUCCUUCUGGUGUGGGGCAGGAACUUCUCUGGAAUGGGGAUCUUCUGACCCACAGUCAAACAAGAAUUGGACAGAAGUCACAUCAGGGAGACCAGAGACUAGAGUAUUGCAUCAUAGAGGAAAGACACUGAUGACAAGACCUCAGGGGAGCAGUGGAACUGGAGGCCUGGGAGCUUGGGACGUGUUCUCCGGGUGAAGUUGGCUGGCCAGCUGAUGACCUACACCAGUGCCAUUCACUCCUCAUGUGUCCCCCGGGAAUUCAUAGUGUGUGUCAUCAGGUAAAAGCAACACUACUUUCAGAUGUUUUCUGAUCUCUUUGAGAUCUGGACAACACUACUGUGUACAUAUGGCCAGCAACAAAUUACACUCAAUGAAUAUUUUAGAGAGCAGCAAAGUAAUCAAUUAAAAUGUGGGUAAACAAAAAUCACUGUGAUCACAGC